rnacentral:misc_RNA from 1 species
UAAUAAGUGUUUUCUGGCACUUUUUAAAUCCAUAUCCACCUUGUGUGCAAUGUCGGUCGAUCUUCUUCAUGGAGAUCGACCAAACAUCAACCUUUAUCUUUUAACUCUUUGUCUGAAAAAUAUUAUGAAUAAACAAUUCAAAAUA